UGGGGAAUAUUGGACAAUGGGGGCAACCCUGAUCCAGCCAUGCCGCGUGAGUGAUGAAGGCCUUCGGGUUGUAAAGCUCUUUUGGCGGGGACGAUGAUGACGGUACCCGCAGAAUAAGCCCCGGCUAACUUCGUGCCAGCAGCCGCGGUAAGACGAAGGGGGCUAGCGUUGUUCGGAAUUACUGGGCGUAAAGCGCGUGUAGGCGGUUGUCCAAGUCGGGUGUGAAAGCCUUGAGCUCAACUCAAGAAAUGCACUCGGUACUGGAUGACUAGAGGACCGGAGAGGAUAGUGGAAUUCCCAGUGUAGUGGUGAAAUACGUAGAGAUUGGGAAGAACACCAGUGGCGAAGGCGGCUAUCUGGACGGUUUCUGACGCUAAGACGCGAAAGCGUGGGGAGCAAACAGGAUUAGAUACCCCCGUAGUCC
rnacentral:rRNA from 1 species